GCACAUACAAACAGCACAUAUACUAAAACUGAAAUGAUACAGAGAUGAUUAGCAUGGCCCCUGCUCAAGGAUGACAUGCAAAUUCGUGAAGCAUUCCAUAUUUUU